AUACGUAGGGGGCGAGCGUUGUCCGGAAUGAUUGGGCGUAAAGGGCGCGUAGGCGGCUUUGCAAGUCAGUAGUGGAAGUCCAUUUUUCAAGGAUGGAAGUGCUACAGAAACUGCGGAGCUUGAGUGCAGGAGAGGUUAUCGGAAUUCCCGGUGUAGCGGUGAAAUGCGUAGAGAUCGGGAGGAACACCAGUGGCGAAGGCGGGUAACUGGACUGCAACUGACGCUGAGGCGCGAAAGUGUGGGGAGCAAACAGGAUUAGAUACCCUGGUAGUCCACACUGUAAACGAUGAAUGCUAGGUGUAGGAGGUAUCGACCCCUUCUGUGCUGCAGUAAACACAGUAAGCAUUCCGCCUGGGGAGUACGGUCGCAAGAUUAAAACUCAAAUGAAUUGACGGG
rnacentral:rRNA from 1 species